CCCUCGCCUCUAGUUGCCAGCAUCGGUUGGGCACUCUAGAGGGGACUGCCGGCGACAAGUCGGAGGAAGGUGGGGAUGACGUCAAAUCAUCAUGCCCCUUAUGACCUGGGCUACACACGUGCUACAAUGGGCGGUACAAAGGGCUGCGAACCCGCGAGGGGGAGCGAAUCCCAAAAAGCCGCUCUCAGUUCGGAUUGCAGGCUGCAACUCGCCUGCAUGAAGCCGGAAUCGCUAGUAAUCGCGGAUCAGCAUGCCGCGGUGAAUACGUUCCCGGGCCUU
rnacentral:rRNA from 1 species